rnacentral:rRNA from 1 species
AUUGAACGCUCGCGGCAGGCUUAACACAUGCAAGUCGAACGAUGACUCUCUAGCUUGCUAGAGAUGAUUAGUGGCGGACGGGUGAGUAACAUUUAGGAAUCUACCUAGUAGUGGGGGAUAGCUCGGGGAAACUCGAAUUAAUACCGCAUACGACCUACGGGUGAAAGGGGGCGCAAGCUCUUGCUAUUAGAUGAGCCUAAAUCAGAUUAGCUAGUUGGUGGGGUAAAGGCCCACCAAGGCGACGAUCUGUAACUGGUCUGAGAGGAUGAUCAGUCACACCGGAACUGAGACACGGUCCGGACUCCUACGGGAGGCAGCAGUGGGGAAUAUUGGACAAUGGGGGCAACCCUGAUCCAGCCAUGCCGCGUGUGUGAAGAAGGCCUUUUGGUUGUAAAGCACUUUAAGCAGGGAGGAGAGGCUAAUGGUUAAUACCCAGUAGAUUAGACGUUACCUGCAGAAUAAGCACCGGCUAACUCUGUG